UACGUAGGGUGCGAGCGUUGUCCGGAAUUAUUGGGCGUAAAGAGCUCGUAGGCGGUUUGUCGCGUCUGCUGUGAAACUCAGGGCUUAACCCUGAGCCUGCAGUGGGUACGGGCAGACUAGAGUGUGGUAGGGGAGAUCGGAAUCCUGGUGUAGCGGUGGAAUGCGCAGAUAUCAGGAGGACACCGGUGGCGAAGGCGGGUCUCUGGGGCCGAUACUGACGCUGAGGAGCGAAAGCGUGGGGAGCGAACA
rnacentral:rRNA from 1 species